GUGGCUUGAUUCAAUCGGGUACAGUGACAGACAAUAGCUAAAUACAUUCACGAUCUGCUCUUACAAACCCUAAAUCUUCCGUUGCCGGACUUAAAGCCACUGCCGACGUCUCUCGUUCACCGCCAUCACGUUCCUUCUUCACUGUGAAGCUAUUUUUGUCAAUCUGGCUGUUGUAAUUCAACUGAAGGAGUCCAGAAACCCUUAAUUUCUGCCCUAGUCCAAAUCGCGUUGCCAUUUGCUUUUUCGUGAGGGAGGAGGCAGCAGCUGGUGUGGUAUUGGUGAUGGUUUGAUGUUUUUGCUGAUCAGUGGAGGUAGUUGGUAAUUAAGAGUAAUUUUGAGCAUGAGUUCAGACAGCAGAAGCAGGAGCAGGAGCCCAAUGGAUCGUAAGAUCCGCUCUGAUCGCUUUUCCUAUCGUGGUGCACCUUACAG
rnacentral:misc_RNA from 1 species